AUAGCUGAUGGGAUACAGGUGCGGGUAAUCAGAACUCCCAACUGGCUACAUUGCCCGGCAACCAGACAGGGUGCGUUCCAGGACGCCGGAAAAAACACUCCAGGACAGAACACAGGCAAAAAACAGACUCAGGAAACGGGAUUCGUGACAGAUGUGGUUGUCCCACCUAGAUGAAUGCACUUACUAGUCAUUCAGGUGAGAAGUAAGGAGUAUGGACUUUACCGAGUCUCACAGCGACACCGUGUCCAGCCUUGCUGUUGCAGCGUGGCAGCACAUGAGAGGAAUGUCAGGCGUGUGCGCUUACUGAUCCGUAGAGGCUGCAGUGUGGACAGCAGUGUUGACAGCAGGGACAACCGUGCCUGGAACGUUCUCCAGGAGACUGUAUGUGUGCGCCAGCAACUUAAAAGGCUCUGCAUGGUCAAUCCAACAUCUGAAGUGGCCACACAGAAUUUACUGCGAUGCAGCCUCUGUACAUGUCAGGGGUUUCAUAAUUAUUGUGCUAGUGGAGCAGAGCAGAGCUAUUGUGAAGGUGAUAAAGGAAUGUAUAUGUUUAAAGUAAUGACUAAAGGAUUCCACCCUGAAAUCAUGUAAUUGUAUGGAAUGUGUUAGAGUAAUAAUUCCAUAAUGUGUGUGACUAGACCAUUGUGUUACUAUUUCGCAAUAUGAGCUGGGUAGAGUUGAGACAUUCAAGGCCAACUGAACUGUCAACUUGUGAUAACUCUGAAAACUGACAACAGGAUAGAGGGCCCGUCCAAAGCCCCUCUAAUCUAGGGAGGAGAGGAACGGCUAGAAACUGCCAGGCAGGUAGAAAAGUGAUAAACUGUGUGUGUGUGUGUGUGUGUGUGUGUGUGUGUGUGUGUGUGUGUGUGUGUGUGUGUGUGUGUGUGUGUGUGUGUGUGUGUGUGUGUGUGUGUGUGUGUGUGUGUGUGUGUGUGUGUAGGGGUGGGAGUUAUAAAAUGACUGUGUUUGCAUUUUUGACUUCAGAGUACUCUGAACAAAGAACUAACCUAUUGCAGACUGGGGGCUUUGUCUAAUUCUUCAUUAACCAGGGUAUUACAAACUUCUGGGAAUUGGUCAAAGCUAUAGUGAUAGUUGAGUUCAACCAUUGGGAUAAACAUUCUCAUGACAGAAGGAAGUUGUCAAGUAAGUGAGUUUGUGUUUAUUAAGGACGUACCACCCCCACCUAUCAUCAACCAAUCAUGUCAAAGCUAUAUGGAGCCCUCUGCAUCGUUACAAAAUUUGACAGGCGCACAGCGAUACGGUACGGAGCUUGAUCGAGCCUCUGCAUGCCUCCGGAAGCUCUGCAAUUGUGUCACAUGAAGCCUCCGACCACAUUUUUGGAUCAAGCAUAAAUUGGCAUUUAGGCUGUCGGUAAGGAUUGUGUAAGUGCACCAUCAUUCUCUUUCUAUGGCUCUUCCUCAAUUGUGAAAGCCAACCUAAUGAUGAGCUAAGUUGACGACUCACUAAAUUAUUCCGCUGCUUCGCUAUGUACUUUAAAGCACACGGGUAGGAUUGUCAAAUCGUUGCCUGCCGAUGGAAUUUUGCCUGCCGUUCCUAGGUGAGACAAAAAGCAGAACUACAAUAGUCCCAGUAUGUAAAAUUAUGUUGACAAGAUGUUCCAUCAGCAAGGGCAUUGAAGAUGAAACGUGGCUGGGUCUUUCAGCAUGACAAUGAUCCCAAACACACCGCCCAGGCAACGAAGGAGUGACUUCGUAAGAAGCAUUUCAAGGUCCUGGAGUGGCCUAGCCAGUCUCCAGAUCUCAACCCCAUAGAAAAUCUUUGGAGGGAGUUGAAAGUCCGUGUUGCCCAGCAACAGCCCCAAAACAUCACUGCUCUAGAGGAGAUCUGCAUGGAGUAAUGGGCCAAAAUACCAGCAACAGUGUGUGAAAACCUUGUGAAGACUUACAGAAAACGUUUGACCUCUGUCAUUGCCAACAAAGGGUAUAUAACAAAGUAUUGAGAUAAACUUUUGUUAUUGACCAAAUACUUAUGUUCCACCAUAAUGUGCAAAUAAAUCGUUUUAAAUAUACUGGUAAA